rnacentral:rRNA from 1 species
GCUUAGAGAGGGGUCAAUGUCCUAUCAGCUAGUUGGUAGGGUAAUGGCCUGCCAAGGCGAAGACGGGUAGCCGGCCUGAGAGGGUGGUCGGCCACACUGGGACUGAGACACUGCCCAGACUCCUACGGGAGGCUGCAGUCGAGAAUCUUUCGCAAUGCCCGAAAGGGUGACGAAGCGACGCCGCGUGUGGGAAGAAGGCCUUCGGGUUGUAAACCACUGUCGGGAGUUAGGAAAUGUAAGGGUGCUAAUAGUGUCCUUACUUGACUAAGGCUCCGGAGGAAGCCACGGCUAACUCUGUGCCAGCAGCCGCGGUAAUACAGAGGCGGCAAGCGUUGUUCGGAAUUAUUGGGCGUAAAGAGCACGUAGGCGGCCUUAUAAGUCAGUUGUGAAAGCCUUCUGCUUAACGGAAGAACAGCAUCUGAUACUGCAAGGCUAGAGUGCGGAAGGG